GACUAAGAUGUCUAGUUAAAGAGCAUAACUAUAAGAAUUCAAAAAUAACGGACUCUCUUCAUAAUAAGACUGUCUAGGAUGCAUACUGUCAGUACACUCACCAAUUGCCACUGGAUUUAUAUCAAUUCCAAUACAUGUGUCCUACAUAUAUUAAAAUUGAAAGGGGGAUUUUAUGUCAGGGUAUUGCUGAGUGGCAUUGGAUAAACUACAUAUGCAUCACAUAAUUUAAUAUUUCAUUUUAGCUAAUAUCUACUUUGAUAUAAAUUGAUUUGGCUAUAGCCACAGCAGACCACCCCUUCACUGCUUAAGACAUCUAAGAGUUCAAAAAAGAACAUUUGUCUCAGAUUAUGUCACUUCACUUAAACUUUUGAUCACUGUCAAAAGAACUGGUAAUAAAGGUAGUUCAGCACAGACCCCUGUGGUGAUGGUGACACAAUUCUGUACUUUAGUUGAGAAACACAAGCAGAAUCUUGAGGAUGUGGUAAUUAACACAGGCAUGUUGAUAAACAAAUGAUUAAUCACUGAGUCGCUCUGAGCUUACUAAAUACACAGAUAUCCAGAUGUUGCGUCUCUAUUAAAUUACAAAGAAAGUCUUUUAAAACCUGUGUAUUUUGAAAACAUAAGAUUAAAGCUUUAUCACUUGUGUCUGAUUUUCAAAUAUUUAAUAAAUAAUAUAUAUUUAUGGAUCUGGGAGAUGUGUCUAAGGUUUAUAUAAUAUAUUAAAUGAACACAUGACUGCAUAUUUAAAAUAAAUAAAAACAUCUUCUUUGCUUUUUUUCAGGCAUCUGAUAAACUAGUGAGAUUCCAAAUAUGAAUGAAUACAGAUGCAAUAAGAGGCUGACUGCUGUGAUGGCUACAAAGGAAACAGAGAGACAGGCAAAAAUCUUCCCCGGAAUGCCUGAGUGAGGGUUUUCCACCAUAUCCCUGAGAUGUUUCAUGCACUGGGCAAAGCGACCACUGUCUUCCAAGGCACUUUGUGAAUUUUCUUUUGAAAGUCCAAAUUCUCCUUCAUACAUUUUGGCUUCGGCCAACUCCUCUUCCUUCUGUUGCAGCUUCCUUAAACAACACCAUUCCAGCUGCUCCUCUUCAAUACCCCAGUAAAUCAGCUCUUCUUGAAAAGACAGUGCACACAUUUCACGCAGUAUUCUCAACUUCCCAGCUGCCAAGAAAGUCAUGAUCGUCCUAAAGGCACAUGGGUUGCGGUCAAAGAAGAACUCAUUGCAGUUUGUAUCAUAGUCAUCACAGAUGUCCAUUAUUUCAUCAUAGUUGUUACACUCCUUAAGUUUCCCAAGUCGUGCCAAAGGGCAGUCUUCCAAAGUUGUCCAUGGGAUCCUAUACUUUAUUCCCCCAACAUUAAUAAUAACAUGCCUUGUUCUAUCUUCCAGCUGCCCCCUAUAGCAUCGAUCAUCACCUGGAUGGAUGAGCUUAGCUGUUUUGUAGAACACCCCUUUUCUGGUCCGCACUUCACAUAAUUUAUCCAAGUUUUUGAAUCUGAAAGAGGUAAAGUCGGAUUCGGCUUGCCCUGCUAGUAAUGCCAUUUCCUGAUACAUUGGUUUUCUUCAUUUAGUCAUCCACUUUUUGCAAUAAAUGGGGUGAAUAAAUCUUCCGGUCAAAAUAGCUUAAAUCUGAAACAAGAAUGCAAAUAUAAGUUUGUCACUUUUGUUUGAUGUUAAUGUGUUUUUUGGUAAGGUACAACAAAAUAGCAAUUUUAAUGCAUAAAGUUUAACCCCUUAAUGACCACAAUGUACCCUGUAUGUCACUGGUCGUUAAGGGUUUUUUCAGGACAUAAUAGCACAAGUCUAGCAAGAAAAUGCUAUUAAUGCCCUCCCUCCAGCAGGCUUUGUGCAAUAGAGCAGUCUCAACGCUGGUGGCAAGACCAAGCUAUAAAACAAUCAAGUCCCAAAAAAAGGCCAGUGACAUACAGGGUACGUCGCUGGUCCUUAAGGGGUUAAUAAACCAUCUUCUCAACUACUUUAAAAUGCAAACGUAUAGAGCCUAUGACAACUAUGAAAAGUGCCUGCAAAAGAAUACAUUUUCUUACACAUCAGAAUUUGCAGUAAUAUUACCUAUACAGGAUUUACGAAGACUUGAACAGCCUCUCAAAUUUCCCUAAUUCAUUUGAUAGUCAUCCUUGUUACCAGUUUAGUAAGAAGGAAGAUCUGACAAAGCUUUAAUGGUCAUGCUGUAAAAAUAAGAAAUGUAGAGACUGGAGAGACAGUUCCAGUCUCUGUUGGUAUAAGAGGACUGUAUCUCAAGGUUUCUUAAAAAAAAAAAGUUAAGAAAUCAGCAUAAUUUCUGAUUUUUAUUUUUAAUAGUACGUCAAAACCUGUAAAAACUCACACAGGUUUCAUAUAAUAUGUUUUCAAUUUUUUUUAAUAAUUGUUGACCUAUAUUACAUAUUAAUAAUAGUAAGUUCUAUUGGUGGAAGCAAAUAACAAUAAUAUCAAUAAUAUAUUUUUAUAUAGACAUCCCACCACCAUUUAUUAAUUAUGAGCUAUAGGCCUCUAGUUAUCAACGUGUCAACUUUCCUGCCUUCGCCGGCCCAAUACGCCCGCCUAAGCUCGCCUACCUUCGCCGCCGCGGACCUGAAAAUUUUCGCCUAAGUUAUCAAAUAAAGCUGUCAAAAAGCCGCGCACCAAGUACGGGGCGAUGAGCAGCGGACUGUGAGAGUUAUCACUCAUCCGAUCUCGCUGCUCUUCGGCUUUUUCACAGCUUUAUUGCUAGCCUGUCACUGAGCACCCACACUAAACUACACUGUUCUAUCCCUAUACCGGCGCCCCCUGAGCCCCCCGCAACUCAAUAAAGAUACUAACCCCUAAACCGCUGCUACUAGACCCCGCCACAACUCUUAUAAAUGUAUUAACCCCUAAACCGCUGCUCCUGGACACCGCUGCAACCUGCAUUAUACCUAGUAACCCCUAUCCUGCCCCCCUAUACUGCCGCCCUCUAUAAUAAAGUUAUUAACCCCUAUCCUGCUGAUCCCGCACCUCGCCGCAACUAAAUAAAUAGUUUAACCCCUAAACCGCCGCUCACGGACCCUGCCGCAACCUAUAUUAAAUUUAUUAACCCCUAAUCUGCCCCCCCUACACCGUCGCCACCUAUAAUAAAUGUAUUAACCCCGAUCCUGCCCCCCACUACACCGCCGCCACGGUAAUAAAUUUAUUAACCCCUAAACCUAAGUCUAACACUAACCCUAACACCUCCCAUUAACGCAUUAUAAUCAGAAUACAUCCUGAACACUGAUUUACUUAAGAAAUAGGGUUGCAACCCAGCCGUAUUUUACCGGCACAGCCGGUAAUCGGCGAUUAGGUGCCAGUGCAGGCAUUAGUAAAAUACCGGCAAUGCAAAAGCCGGUUUCUCUAAAUUCUAGCGCAAUAAACAACCUAGAGUAUAGAAACAAAUCACUUUUUCAAUUAAUAUUACAACAUCCGGUGUGCACUGCACUGAUUUUCAUAUAUAUCACAAGACCACAGAGCAGUAUUUUUACCCUAGUAAACUCAGUACACUUCCCGGUUACUGCUUCCGGUUAGCGCAAUUUUCAAGAUGGCGUUGCUACUUGAAGAUAAUGAACUGAAAGCGAUGAGACAAUGUGUUUUUAGCAGCAAGCUGAAGCGCUACUCAGAGAAUCAGUAACAGGGGGUAGCGGUGUGUUCUUAGCGUUUCUGUUUGUUUUAUCCCUCUGAUUCCCUGUCUACCUGCUAAUAAUUACACUGUAUCCCAUUGAUGCAUUACAGCCCAUUUCCUCUAUUAGUUGUCACUGUAAACUACACACAGUAAUGUGUCAGUGGGAUGCAGUUGUAAAACAAUGAGCCGUUUCUUAAUUUUGCAGCCUUAAUACUAUUAAUAGCUAUUUUUUUUUUACUAUGUUUACACUGUUAAAUAUAGUUUUACUGAUUGAGUUAAAUAAUUGAACUAUUACCAUAAUAUUUGGAAGCUACCUAGUUAAAACAAUAAAACAUUUUAAAUCGUUUUACAGAUACAUUUUGACUAGGAUAGGCUAUUUUUCCCCCUGUAAUUUUGCAAAGUGCUUUUGAGACCCUCCAUUCUUAGUAGCUGUGUGCUUGUGUUAUAUGUAUGUGUUAUACGCAAGCUGGAUCAUGUGUUAUAUACAGUAUAUAUAUAUAUAUAUAUAUAUAUAUAUGUGUGUAUAUACUGUAUAGCAGUAUUAGUUCCUUAGUUAAAGGCUGUAAUCUUUAAAAUGGGGCCAUUUUUACAUUACUAGCUCCUUUGCACAGACAAGCACUUCUAGCAUGCUGAUAUUGUACUAUUGUUUAUAUAUUGGCUGUACAUGUUUUUAUGUUUAUGUCUUUGACUGUGUGUAUUUUUCCCUGUUGCAAAUAAAUAGCAUGCUAAGUGUUAAUGAUCAGGGGGAGGUUACUGUACUUCCCAAUUGAUCAUCCUAUUAAUUGAUCACCCAAUCAGCUACACCCUGAGGGUUUAUACAUGUUUUAGUCACAUUAUGUUUUUAGGUCACAGAUGAAGGCGUGAGCCGAAACGCGUCUGACCCUCCACUCUACGUUUAGUAUUUUUUAUUACCAUGUUUUUAUCUUUAAUGCAAUAAUCAAUAAGGCUUUUUCCUUGAUACUGAGACAUACACACUAGUGACAAUAGAACAAAUAAAGACACGUAGCCAUAAAUGCAACUAUGUGUUUAUUAUAGUAAUGGAUGAUGAGCAUGAAACAAAAUUUUAAAAUUUACUCUAAUGACAAUAGAACAAAUAAAGACACGAAACCAUAAAUGCAACUAUGUGUUUAUUAUAGUAAUGGAUGAUAGAGCAUGAAUCAAAAUUUAAAAAUUUAAAAUUUAAAUAUGUACUUACUCUAUUCAAUAUGGCUUUCGGAAUAUACACUGCUUCACAGAGAUAGCUUUAUAUGUACAAAUUAACACAAUCAUUAUGAAUGAAAUCCCUUGUGUCACAAAACUUCAAAUUGUGUUUGGCAUUGAGAUGGUUAAUGUAUGUAUAACUGUGGCUAAUACACUACUCCACAAUUGAUAGGUUUUUUAAAAUCAUGGAGAUACGUAUGAUUCACAACUCAUAUAACACACUGCAUAUACGAUAUUUAUUACAGGUACCUAGAUAUGAACUUAACGUGGUCCGAAUGAUAAUUUAGCAUGUACGCUAUACUGAUAAUUCUUUAUUCAUACAGUAUUAAUUUUAAAUAACCGUGUAUUUAGGAGAGUUUUCCUUAUAGUGUCUUGUUGCUCUUAAUAGAACAACUUUAAUUGUAUUAUCAAUGUGGGUUAUUUCAAUGUAAACCCUAAUAGCAGUGUAUAACAGAUAAUAAAUAAUAAUAAAUAAUACCCUGAUGAACUGUA